AACGCGAAGAACCUUACCUGGGCUCGAAAUGUAGUGGAAUCCGGCAGAAACGUCGGCGUCUAGCAAUAGACCGCUAUAUAGGUGCUGCAUGGCUGUCGUCAGCUCGUGUCGUGAGAUGUUGGGUUAAGUCCCGCAACGAGCGCAACCCUUAUCUUCAGUUGCUACCAUUUAGUUGAGCACUCUGACGAAACCGCCUCGGAUAACGGGGAGGAAGGUGGGGAUGACGUCAAGUCCUCAUGGCCUUUAUGUCCAGGGCUACACACGUGCUACAAUGGCCGGUACAAACCGCUGCAAACCCGCGAGGGGGAGCUAAUCGGAAAAAGCCGGCCUCAGUUCGGAUUGGAGUCUGCAACUCGACUCCAUGAAGCUGGAAUCGCUAGUAAUCGUGGAUCAGCAUGCCACGGUGAAUACGUUCCCGGGCCUGUACACACCGUACUA
rnacentral:rRNA from 1 species